rnacentral:misc_RNA from 1 species
UUUCAAUCAAACUGUUUGGGGUUUCAACAACAAAUAAUGCACCCAAAGUCAACAAUACUGCUGGAAAUCCAGCUAACCCUAAUGAUAAUCUCCAUCCCCAUCCUCCACUAAUCUUGGCUGUUCCGUAGUUGACGAGAUUGGCAAAAAGAAUACCAAUAGUUACGUUAAGUUGGAACAAAAUGUUAAGUCCUCCACGAAUUCUUG